rnacentral:rRNA from 1 species
GAUGAACGCUGGCGGCGUGCCUAAUACAUGCAAGUCGAGCGAACGGACGGGAAGCUUGCUUUUCUGAUGUUAGCGGCGGACGGGUGAGUAACACGUGGAUAACCUACCUAUAAGACUGGGAUAACUUCGGGAAACCGGAGCUAAUACCGGAUAAUAUUUUGAACCGCAUGGUUCAAAAGUGAAAGACGGUCUUGCUGUCGCUUAUAGAUGGAUCCGCGCUGCAUUAGCUAGUUGGUAAGGUAACGGCUUACCAAGGCAUCGAUGCAUAGCCGACCUGAGAGGGUGAUCGGCCACACUGGAACUGAGACACGGUCCAGACUCCUACGGGAGGCAGCAGUAGGGAAUCUUCCGCAAUGGGCGAAAGCCUGACGGAGCAACGCCGCGUGAGUGAUGAAGGUCUUCGGAUCGUAAAACUCUGUUAUUAGGGAAGAACAUAUGUGUAAGUAACUGUGCACAUCUUGACGGUACCUAAUCAGAAAGCCACGGCUAACUACGUG